rnacentral:ncRNA from 1 species
UGGGGAGUACGUUCGCAAGAAUGAAACUCAAAGGAAUUGACGGGGGCCCGCACAAGCGGUGGAGCAUGUGGUUUAAUUCGAUGCAAAGCGAAGAACCUUACCAGGGCUUGACAUGCCGCGAAUCCUCUUGAAAGAGAGGGGUGCCCUCGGGAACGCGGACACAGGUGGUGCAUGGCUGUCGUAAGCUCGUGCCGUAAGGUGUUGGGUUAAGUCUCGCAACGAGCGCAACCCUCGUGUUUAGUUGCCACUAUGAGUUUGGAACCCUGAACAGACCGCCGGUGUUAAGCCGGAGGAAGUAGAGGAUGAGGCCAAGUUAUCAUGCCCCUUAUGCCUUGGGCGACACACGUGCUACAAUGGGCGGGACAAAGGGUCGCGAUCUCGCGAGGGUGAGCUAACUCCAAAAACCCGUCCUCAGUUCGGAUUGCAGGCUGCAACUCGCCUGCAUGAAGCAGGAAUCGCUAGUAAUCGUCGGUCAGCCAUACGGUGGCGAAUCCGUUCUCGGGCCUUGUAUACACCGCCUGUCACACUAUAGGAGCUGGCCAUGUUUGAAGUCAUUAUCCUUAACCGUGGAUGGGGUUAAACUAUACAAGACGUGGGCCUUCUCAAAUGAGGUCAUGGAUGGGGUUCAGAGAUUUAAACUCCA